CAGGAAACAUGAAGUCAGGCAUAUGCCACAAAAAACAGCUGGCUCUGUGAUUUUGGCAGACUUGAUGAAGACUAUAUCUCACCUCCUGCUCAUCCCAUUAUGUAUUGUUGGAGGAAAGGAGAGGUUGGUUUGUUUGUUUACCUUAAGUUGCACAACUAUUUUAUUUAAACAGUGUAAGAAAUUAUUUUUAAAAAUAAAUAAGAGUAAGCUACUUUAAACACUG